AUGUAUUCGAUCGUGAAUUCUCUUAUUAUUAUUAUUAAAAAAGCUAAGGGUAAGUUUGUAUUUUCUCUUCAAUUUUAACGGCAAAAAAUGUUGAUUUUAAACGAAAUGACUAAUUAAUUAACAUAAAUCAAACAUUAGGUGCUAAAUAGUUAGGUUUUCAAAUAGCAUGGAUGAACCUGUGAAUUAUGCCUAAUCUCAGAGACGUUUUUGUAGACCAUAGUUAAUUUGAAUUUAAAUUUUGAUAACAAAUGGUUUAACAAUGGUUUUUUUAAUAUAAAUUUAUCUUUUUUUAAUAUUCAUUUUGAUAUUGAUGCGAACCUCAAGAACGAU
rnacentral:misc_RNA from 1 species